rnacentral:rRNA from 1 species
UACGUAGGGUGCAAGCGUUACUCGGAAUUACUGGGCGUAAAGCGUGCGCAGGCGGUUCGUUGUGUCGGCGGUGAAAGCCCCGGGCUUAACCUGGGAAUGGCCGUCGAAACUGGCGAACUGGAGUGUGGCAGAGGGGGGUGGAAUUCCGCGUGUAGCAGUGAAAUGCGUAGAGAUGCGGAGGAACACCGAUGGCGAAGGCAGCCCCCUGGGCUAACACUGACGCUCAGGCACGAAAGCGUGGGGAGCAAACAGG